CAGCCGCCGCGGGAAUACGUAGGGUGCGAGCGUUAAUCGGAAUUACUGGGCGUAAAGCGGGCGCAGACGGUUACUUAAGCAGGAUGUGAAAUCCCCGGGCUCAACCUGGGAAUUGCGUUCUGAACUGGGUGGCUAGAGUGCGUCAGAGGGGGGUAGAAUUCCACGUGUAGCAGUGAAAUACGUAGAGAUGUGGAGGAAUACCGAUGGCGAAGGCAGCCCCCUGGGAUAGCGCUGACGUUCAUGCCCGAAAGCGUGGGUAGCAAGCAGGAUUAGAUACCCGAGUAGUCCCUGUCUCUUAUAC
rnacentral:rRNA from 1 species